rnacentral:rRNA from 1 species
UACGUAGGGGGCAAGCGUUGUCCGGAUUUAUUGGGCGUAAAGCGCGUGUAGGCGGCCAGGCAGGUCCGUUGUGAAAACUGGAGGCUCAACCUCCAGACGUCGAUGGAAACCGCCCGGCUAGAGUCCGGAAGAGGAGAGUGGAAUUCCUGGUGUAGCGGUGAAAUGCGCAGAUAUCAGGAAGAACACCAAUGGCGAAGGCAGCUCUCUGGGACGGUACUGACGCUGAGACGCGAAAGCGUGGGGAGCGAACAGG